rnacentral:ncRNA from 1 species
CAACGAUAAAGGCAAACCAAGUGAAAGCUUGGGACGCAAAGCUAUAGGGUCUUCCAUACUUGUGUAUGAUGACAGCCAGUUACCGAA